UGCUAGAUUUUUAUGACAAGAGCAUGUAGAAGCCCUGGAUCAUUGUUCAGACAGGGAAGGUGACCAAUUUAUCAGGUCCUGAGGAUGUUGAAAGUGCAGGGAAACAUCUGAGAUUGGGUUUAUGUGGCCAACUGAAACCAAAGCACACCUUCCCCACGCUGAGGAACCUGCCUAUGCUUGGAAAGCAAGGGGACAGCAACACCCUCUGACUGCAAUUCAAGAGAACCCCAAAUAGGCACAAGACACUUGUUUUCAAUUAGUUAGGGUUAUCCUCCUGC